rnacentral:rRNA from 1 species
UACAGAGGGUGCAAGCGUUAAUCGGAUUUACUGGGCGUAAAGGGCGCGUAGGUGGUUGUUUAAGUGAGAUGUGAAAGCCCCGGGCUCAACCUGGGGGCUGCGCUUGAUACGUGGUGGCUUGAGUGGGGAAGAGGGUCGUGGAAUUCCCAGUGUAGAGGUGAAAUUCGUAGAUAUUGGGAAGAACACCGGUGGCGAAGGCGGCGACCUGGUCCUUGACUGACGCUGAGGCGCGAAAGCGUGGGGAGCAAACAGG